UCUUGUUGUGCAGGGAAUAACUCCUGUCAGCAGCAAGGUCCUGACUGAAGUGGCAGCUGCAGUUGUUCCUGUGGUGUGGGCCAGUGGAAUUGCAGGAGAGUGGAAGAGGGCAGAACCUGUAGGUAUUACCCCUACUGUGGGAUCUCUCCUGGUAAGGCAAACCCAGUAUCCUUUAAAAUCAGAAUGCGAGACUGGAUUGGUUGCAGUAACAGCUGAAUUUGCUCAUCCUGGUUUGCUUGUAGGACGUGAAUGCAAGAACCUGCCAAGAAACCAAUGACCAAGAUGAUUGAUGAGUGCAGGAUCUGAGAGAAGCACCUUGAAUGACAACCUCGAGCAGUUUCCACUAUUGGAUUGCAAAGAUGGCCUUUGCUGCAUCUGCUUGAGCAAGGAAAGCCAAGAAACCUUUGCUUUUGAAGGAGAAAACCUGGAAAGCAGGAAGGAAGAAAAGAAACCCCCUGACUCCUCCCUCAGCCCCAGACAGCCCAUGAACUGCCUUCCUGGGAAUGGUAGGACGGGGUGGACUCUGGAUUGCUCCCUCUGGAUGUGUGUGGGAUGUAGCCUGGAAAGUGCACAGAGCUGAGCCAAGGGAUUGAAAGGGACCAAGCAAGGGAGGUGAAGAAAGAAGGAAGAAGGAAGUGAGGCAGCAGGCAAGCAGCAGCAAGUUGCUGUGUAAGCAGAGGGAUAAUAACUCCUGUCAGCAGCAAGGUCCUGACUGAAGUGGCAGCUGCAGUUGUUCCUGUGGUGUGGGCCAGUGGAAUUCCAAGAAAAUGGACAAGGACAGAAGCUGUAAGAAUUACCCCUAAGGCAGAGUCUCUCCUGGUAAGGCAAACCCAGUAUCCUUUAAAAUUAGGAAGCCAAGCUGGAUUGGUUUUAUUAACAGCUAAAUUUGCUGAUCAUGGUUUGAUAGUAGAAUGUGAAUGGAAGGACCUGUAAAGAAAGGAAAUGGGAAAGAUGAUGGAUUGCUGGGAGCAGGGGCUGGCAGACAGUGGGAUGGAUGUUUGGUUGUGUUUGGGAAUGAGCAGCUUGACCUGCCCAGGGUUGUCUGUGCUGGGGGUGGGUUUGGGUCCUGUGUGGCCACAGGUCUGUGCAGCAGCUGGAGCCUGGGCAGGUCUGGGGGCUGUGGUGUGCCAGGCUGCUGAGUUUGUUUUGCCUGUUUCCUUGGAGUGUCCCAGUGUCCCUGCUUGGCUGUUUGUUGCCCUGCAGGCAGAAGAGCCCAGGCCUGAGCUGGCUGAGUGUUGGUGUGAGCCAGAGUGGGUGUCCCUGCCCUGGGGCCAGUCCCCAGAGCUGCCUUUGGCAUCCCCUGCUGAAGGGUGGGAGCUGCCCAGAGCCAGCAGCAUCCAGCUGGAGGAUCCAGGAGGAUGCAGCUCUGCUUUGCUGGGAGCUUGUCCAGGAGAUGGAAUUCCAGUGCUACAGUCUGGGUGGGUCAUGGUGCUCCCAAAAGGAGCCUUUGUGCCUUCAGGACAAGUUUUGGUGCCACUGGAGCUGCUGGGAGAAGCAUAGGGUUGGCAGUGAGAGGCCUGGAAUGAUGUUGCUGUGGCACAGAAGAAAUGAGCAGUGGUGGUACAAUUGGCUAUUUUGUCUUGAAUGUAAUGGUAAGAGCUCCAGGAGUGCAAGGUGUGUGUUCCAGUCCCCAGCAUUUGGUUUGCACUUGUCCUGGUCAGACACAGGUCCAACUUCCUCAGUCCUUAACCCAGUAGAGGGCGAAUUAAGGACUGGCAGUGUU